rnacentral:rRNA from 1 species
UACGGAGGGUGCAAGCGUUAUCCGGAUUUACUGGGUUUAAAGGGUGCGUAGGUGGACAUUUAAGUCAGCGGUGAAAUCUCCGGGCUUAACUCGGAAAUUGCCAUUGAUACUAUUUGUCUUGAAUUAUCUGGAGGUGAGCGGAAUAUGUCAUGUAGCGGUGAAAUGCUUAGAUAUGACAUAGAACACCAAUUGCGAAGGCAGCUCACUACGGAUACAUUGACACUGAGGCACGAAAGCGUGGGGAUCAAACAGGG